CCUGCGACUGAUUGGUGCUGCUCCUUUUCCUUUCCUCCCCGGCGUCAGGGCCUUCGGGUGUUGGAGCGAGCGGAGGGUCCGGGAGAAGCGAGCCAGCAAGCGAGGAGGCAGCAUCAUGUCGGGACGCGACGGUGGCAAGAAGAAACCUUUGAAACAGCCCAAGAAGCAAGCAAAGGAAAUGGAUGAGGAAGACAAAGCGUUCAAGCAAAAACAGAAGGAAGAGCAGAAGAAACUUGAAGAGUUGAAGGCAAAAGCAGCUGGCAAGGGCCCACUUACUGGAGGUGGAAUUAAGAAAUCUGGUAAAAAGUAGCAGAUGUGAUGCGACUACAUGGCAAGAAAAGCAUUCACUCUCGCUGGAUGCUUGGCACUAGGAUGGAUUUCCAGGCUGAUGUUGUGGGAAACGUGAAUUUGAGCACCUUUGUACAUUUCGUUCAAACAAAAUAAAUGGCGCUUUUUUUUUUGUUAACGUC